rnacentral:rRNA from 1 species
AUGGUGGUUCCGGGCGGGACUACUAUUGAGACGGUUGAUCAGCUCAUUGACUUCGAGAAUUGGACGUGGCGUCGGGACCUGAUCAGAGAUGUUUUUACCGCUCCCGACACCGAUGCUAUACUGAAUAUCCCACUACGUGCAGGUGGUGGUGAUGAUUUCCUUGCUUGUGCCCAUGAAAGAAGUGGCAUCUAUUCUAUAAAGUCGGCGUACCGUGCUCUUGUGACUCAGAAGGAGCUUGCAGCUCUAAAGGAAGGGACGGUUACCGGAUCCUCACAGACCGAAGAACAGAUGUGGAAGUCGCUUUGGAAACUCAAGGUGUUGCCAAAGGUUCGUGUUUUCUGGUGGAGGGUGGUGCGUGGAAUACUCCCAGAUGAAUGUACCUUGAGGCAUCGACAUAUAAAGAUAAUCAGCAGAUGUAAUGUCUGUAAUGCAAUGGAUGAGGACCUAAUGCACGCCCUAGUGCAUUGCUCCCAUGCAAAGUUGUUUUGGGAACAAGCAUUUGCUCUCUUCGAUCUUCGAAGGCCGCGAUUGCACCGGGAUACAUGGUCCCAUGACAUUUUAUGUGAGGGGAGGUUUUCUGAUGUUGAAAGGGCUCAAAUGAUAUCAGUAAUGUGGGCGAUAUGGCACUCGCGGAAUAGAGUUACUCAUGCAGAUGAUCAGCUUGACCCUUAUACUUCGGUUAAGAGAAUCCGGAAGGAUUUGGCCUUGCUUGAUAUGCCAGACAAACAUGCAUCGGUGCUCCCGGGCUUUGGGUGGAUUCCACCAGAGUUGGGGAUCGUCAAGAUCAACACAGAUGUGGCUGUGAACUUGGACUCCAACAGGAUAGGAGUGGGUGGUGUUGCUUGCUCCAACAAAUGCUUUGUUGGGUGCAUGGAGUAA